rnacentral:rRNA from 1 species
CCUACGGGUGGCAGCAGUGAGGAAUAUUGGGCAAUGGACGCAAGUCUGACCCAGCCACGCCGCGUGCAGGAAGACGGCUUUCUGGUUGUAAACUUCUUUUCUCAGGAACGAAGAAGGUGACGGUACCUGCGGCAUAAACCACGGCUAACUACGUGCCAGCAGCCGCGGUAAUACGUAUGUGGCAAGCGUUAUCCGGAUUUAUUGGGUGUACAGGGUGAGUAGGCGGGCGGGGAAGUCAGAGGUGAAAACCCAGGGCUCAACCCUGUGCGUGCCUGUGAUACUGUGUUUCUUGAGAGAUGGAGCGGUAAGCGGAAUUUAGGGUGUAGCGGUGAAAUGCUUAGAGAUAAGGAGGAACACCAGUGGCGAAGGCGGAUUGCUGGAC